GACGAACGCUGGCGGCGUGCCUAAUACAUGCAAGUCGAGUGAAGUUUUUCUGGUGCUUGCACCGGAAAAACUUAGCGGCGAACGGGUGAGUAACACGUAAAGAACCUGCCUCAUAGACUGGGACAACUAUUGGAAACGAUAGCUAAUACCGGAUAAUAGCAUUAACUGCAUGGUUGAUGUUUAAAAGUUGGUUUUGCUAACACUAUGAGAUGGCUUUGCGGUGCAUUAGCUAGUUGGUGGGGUAAAGGCCUACCAAGGCGACGAUGCAUAGCCGACCUGAGAGGGUGAUCGGCCACACUGGGACUGAGACACGGCCCAGACUCCUACGGGAGGCAGCAGUAGGGAAUCUUCCGCAAUGGGCGAAAGCCUGACGGAGCAACGCCGCGUGAGUGAAGAAGGAUUUCGGUUCGUAAAGCUCUGUUGUUAGGGAAGAAUGAUUGUGUAGUAACUAUACACAGUAGAGACGGUACCUAACCAGAAAGCCACGGCUAACUACGUG
rnacentral:rRNA from 1 species